AUCAUGGCUCAGGAUGAACGCUGGCGGCGUGCCUAACACAUGCAAGUCGAACGAAGCACUGCGGAUGGAGAUUCGUCAAAAUCUGCUUUGACUUAGUGGCGGACGGGUGAGUAAUGUGUGAGCAACCUGCCUUUCAGAGGGGGACAACAGUUGGAAACGACUGCUAAUACCGCAUAAUGUAUUGGGAGGGCAUCCUUUUGAUACCAAAGGAGCAAUCCGCUGAAAGAUGGGCUCACAUCUGAUUAGCUAGUUGGUGGGGUAACGGCCUACCAAGGCUGCGAUCAGUAGCCGGACUGAGAGGUUGAACGGCCACAUUGGGACUGAGAUACGGCCCAGACUCCUACGGGAGGCAGCAGUGGGGAAUAUUGGGCAAUGGGCGAAAGCCUGAACCCCAGCAACGCCGCGUGAAGGAAGAAGGUCUUCGGAUUGUAAACUUCUUUUAUGAGGGACGAAGGACGUGACGGUACCUCAUGAAUAAGCCACGGCUAACUACGUGCCAGCCGCUGC
rnacentral:rRNA from 1 species